UGUUCGAGCGUCAUUACACCACUCAAGCCUGGCUUGGUAUUGGAGGUCGCGGUCCGCCGCGCCUCCUAAUGUCGCCGGCCGAGUCGUCUGUCUCCGAGCGUUGUGAAUCUUCAAUUCGCUUUCGAGUACAGGCGGCGCGCGCCGUUAAACCUCUUUUUCAGGUUGACCUCGGAUCAGGUAGGGAUACCCGCUGAACUUAA
rnacentral:misc_RNA from 1 species